rnacentral:piRNA from 1 species
UGUUAAUAGACAGUUGUGAGACACCAUGUG